CUUCUACCAUCUUUUCUGCAAGGUGUGGGCCAGAAGUCAUUCCUGUUUUACGAGCUGAGUUUUACUGGAUGCUAUACUAAGAUAUGAAGGAUCCAGCUCCUCCUGAGUGGAAGUCCCUAGAGGAUAAGGGUUCCUGAGACUGGGCAGCAAUUCUGGGCCGGCUGGCUCCUCCAUGCUUUCGCUGACAAGCUGAAAUGUGAGGGCUGUCUUGCCUCUGGCCUCUUUAGUUUAACCAGCAAAGCUAGGAAAGACAAAAGAAGCAUGUUCGGGGACAAAGAGUCAUCAGAGCAGGGCAGGAUUGGACGUGACAAAAGGUACAGUUGCUCUCAUUUGAUGAUUAGAUGGUACAGUAUCAGGCACACAAUGCUAAUAUCUCUAUGUAUGUAUCACCAGGACAGCUUUGUGAUGGUUAGUAUUGGUCGUCAACUUGAGAGAACCUGGAAGGGGGCCUCUGCAUGAUUUUCUUGAUGACAUUCAUGGAGGCGAAAAUGGAACGUUUUACGUAGAAGAGAGUUGGCGGUACUAGUGAGCACCUGUGCAUUCCCUCAUCUCUAUUCCAGCUGCUCUAUUCUGCUGCUCUAACUUGCCUACCAUCACGGACUGUCCUUUGAAGUAUAAAUCGAAACAAACCCUUUCUCCCCUCAGUUGCUGUUGUCAGGGUAGUUUAUUACAGCAACAAGAAAAGAAAGUAAGGUGAGCUUUAAUCAUGGAGUUUCAUGAACUCAGUGCCUUUUCUAUACAAGUAUAAACCCACACAUUUUGAAGAAUAUCUAGCUAAACACUAAAAAUUAUCUGUGGCGUCACAUUCUUUACUCCACAUAUUUAUGUGUUUGCUGUGUAUAUAUACACACACAUAUAACAUCUCUAUAUGUAAUUCACGUUAUGGAGCACUGUGCAGAGAAUGUCCUAGAGUGAGUGGUUUUAAGAGAGAUGCCUCUGACUCUCUCUCACAUCUGAGAAUGAGGAUUUGAGCAAAUUAUUUCUAGGAGACCCUGACUGGUAAGGCAGGCAUGCAUUGCGGACAUCUUAGCAAUUUGGGGCUCUCGUUGGCUACCCACAUCCACCUGUCCUAAUUGUCUGAAAAGUUAUUUAUUUAUAUUUUACCUAAAAUAUAUCAUUCCGUCCACCUUCACACUGGGCAGCCUAAUCCCUUUACCUGCAUGUACCAUGCACACGCCUCUCUGAAAGAUGCACCCAGUGACUUUGGAUUUCCACUCAACAUAAAUGCACACGCACCCCUCUCUGAACAAUGUGAUGGGUUUCUUUUACCUUGAAAACCGUCAAACUUAGAUUGUAUUCAGUUCCAUGAUCCCUAUGUCUGGACAGAAUGGAAAGGCUGACAGCUCUGGUUGAGACGAAUGUGCAAUAAGGCAAAAUUGUGGCCUUUUAGGAACAAUAUCCCAACUUAUGCCUUUGCAUAAUUGUAUACAUAUUAUGGGGGAGGGACAUGCACUAUAAAUGUGACCUGAUGUACCAAAAUAGAAAACCACCCAAACUAUCUCCCUGGUAAACAACCAAAUUUUCUCUUAAAUCCCCAAUGAGAGAGCCAUAUUUGGACCCAUCCUAUACUCCCUCAUGUGGCCUGCUGCUAUCUUGUGAUGUGUUUUCUGAACUGUCCUAGAGAUUUCCUUUGAAGAGUUUGUGACUUGUGUAAUUUGUCUUUUCGGAUAAGAGACCAAGGACCCAGAAACAUCUGAAGAAACAUCUCAAGCCCUACUCAUGGCCACACUGGAACCUUGCUCUCAAGCCCGUUUAGAUUCAUGCUGCAAUUAUGCUCUGCUUCUUGUCUUUGGCACGUGGGUUUCUCCAGAGUCCAGCAGCAGUCCUGAUGUGGCUACCAUAUGGACUCAAACUGUUCCAGCGGCUGAUUCCUGUUCAGCCCCCAUCAACGCAGCAUGCUAACUACUUUUAAAAAGUUCCAUUACAGCUCCCCAUCUGAUGCUGCUGUCUGGGGUUGGAGCCUUUAGAGGAAGGUCUGGCUAGCAGAGAAUGGUCACUAUGGGUGAGUCUCUGAAAGUCUGGCCAGAUCCUCAGUUCCAGAACUGCUCUCUGCUUUGCUAAUGUGUACACAGUUGCUACCUUAACCUCUCUCCACGCUUCCCCACCCAGGAUGGACUGAGACCCUCUGAAAGUAUAAGGUGAAACUCCCUUGUUUGUCACAAAUUUUGCCAUAGGAAUGCCAAAGUAAGACAAGUUUCAAUUUUAUCUCUUUUUCUUUUUCUGAAAUAGGUCCUACUAUGCAACCCUGGGUAGCCUAGAAAUCUGUGUAGCCCCAGGCUGGCCUCAGAGACCUGCCUGUCUCCUUUCUAGGACGACAGAAUCAAAUACACUACACCAGUGUAUUUAUUCAUAUUUAAAUGAUUGUUCUUUUGUUUAUGAAGUAGAUUCUAUCUGGCCCAGACUGUUGUUGGAUUCAGAAUCUUGCUACCAUAAUACCCUAAAACUAGGAUUACAGAAAUGCACCUCUCCACCUAUUUUUCAGGUUAACUGCAUCUGGAAUCAACUAAAACCCAGAGCUGGGCACCCCUGUGAGACUUUUCUUGAAUUCUUUGAGGUAGGAAUACCCACCCUAAAUCUGGGCCACACCUUCUUCUAGUAGCCUACAUGAAGGACAAGGGAGGAAGCUUUUGCUUUUUGCCUGUUUGCCAUUAUGCUUGCUGGCAAGCUCAUCUAUCCUGCUGCUGGGUGAUUCCUUUGCUGAUAUUCAAAUGUACUUACUUCUUCAAGAUUCCAAUGGAUUUUGAAGACCAGCCGAGUCGUCCAUUCUUAUGGUCUGAACAAUUAUUGGAUUCUUGACUUUGUUAGAAGACAGCCAUUGUUGGAAUAGACCCACAGCCAGGAAGCCACUCUAAUAAAUCCACUCUCUAUCAGUAGUGUUCUACAGAACGAAUUCAGACGGUGGUACCAGGAGUGGGGUAGGUGUUCUGACUUCAAAUGAUCCUAUCAUUACAAGUUUGCCUAGAUGCUUCCCUUUUAGUUGACUGCAGAUAUAGCCAAGGUGAUACCAAGAUCAGCUAUCACACAUGAUCUAACUGUAUAGCCCACAUAGACAGCAACCGUGGCAAUCCAUGGCAUGAGCCACCAUGCCCAGCUUCCUUGUCUGUCAAUGCUGUACUCAGGGUUUCCUAUUUAGUAGCAAAAUGUUUCUUAACUGUGUCUUCACAUGCUUUCUCUGGAUUCUGUAUAUUUUCUGAUUAUUUAUUAGACUUAAGGUGUAUCAUUCUUUCAUAUUCAUGUUUUUUUUUUUUUUUUUUUUUGUAACUGCUCAACUUUCUGAACAGCAUGUUUCAACCUGUCAGGGAUGGCUUUAAACUGUGCCAAGCUGAAUGCAGACAUGGUACCAGUGCACCUUCUCAAAUUAGUGUGAUUAGUCAUUUGGAUGCUGCUGGAAAACUUGGACAAAGCACAUUGUUCUGUUUCUAAAAAAAUCAUGAAGUUUUUGUUUUCCGAGACUAGGUCUUGCUAGCUUUGUCUCACACUUAAGAGUGGGGGUUUAGGGCCUUGGACAUGCUAAGCACAUAUCCUAUGACUGGGCACACUGCCAGCCUUAGACAUAAUUUGAUGACUGUAGUUUUCUAAACUAUUAAAGCCAAUGAAUGUAUUGGACUCUGAAGCAACAGCUAACUGUGAGAGGGCUGUAAAACAAACCUGAAUGCAAACAGAAGAGCCUGAGAAACCACUUGCAAUAACACAAGACUUUAUUUAUGUGGGGCAUGGGGAUGGGGGUGGGGAGGGUUGGAGCUUGGGAUAAGUUACUAUUUAAGAGCUCUUGCUGCCCUUCCAGGACUCAGGUCUCAACACUGAGGUUGGGCAGAUCACAACAGCCUGUAACUCCAGCCCCAGGGGACACAAUGCCCUCUCUGGUCUCCAUGAACACUAGCACAUGUGAACAUAUUCAUUUCUCUUCCUUGCUGGCAAUUCAGGAAUUCUAACUAUCAUGUUUCUAGUGGUGUUGGAGAGGUAUCCCGGGACCACUUUGAGCAACACACACUUACCCACUUCAUAUGACCACUCCGUUGCUCAGGUUUCUGGUCGGGUUGUUUAGGGCACACCAUGUAUGCUGUACUGCAGAGCAUCUUGCCCAUGCAGUCGUAGUGAUGACUCUUCCAAGUGUCAUACAGACUCAGCUAUUCUGUUUUUAUUUUCUCAUGGUAGACCUGGAAGGCUUAGAAACCUGGCUGUGACAGUCAGAAGAGCUCCAAAUACUACAAAGUCUUCGAUGGCAGUAUAGAUGCCUUCUGACUUUGCAAAAGAAACAAUGGACUUAAAUGCAAAUGUUUCACUGGACUAAAUCUUGUAAUAUAGAAUUCUAUUUAGAAGCUUUGAUUUAUAUUUUAUUCACUGAGUUUGAAAGGAACAGUACUUUUUUUCAAAGGGUCGCUCAGCAGCCCAGUGUGGCUUGAAAUUCAUGGCAAUCGUGAGCUACCUACCAGGCCAAGUUCUUGUUUUAACAUUCUGAUUCAGACUGCCCUAUGUCCACAAAUCUGCCUCCCCCAGGUCAAUCUGAAACUGCCUUAAGCAGUCACUUUGGAAUAUAUUACAUUUUUAUUCCUGCGAUGCCAGGGAUCAAAAUGCACUGUACAUGUGUGGCAAGCACUCUACCCUGGACAUUUCACCUCAACCACGUACCAGUUAUUUGGGGGUGGUGGUGAAUCUGAGUUACUAAAGGAAUAACACUACAAAACAGCACUCCCCCUUUUUUCCAAUAUAGGAGUUUGUUUUCUGUGAUAGGGUGUACUCAGCUCCAGCUGGCCUUGAACUUCUGUUCCUGUGUGCUCAGAUUACAGGUGUGGGCCUUAAUUUUAUUCUUUUUUUUUUUUUUUUUUUUUUGGUUCUUUUUUUAGGAGCUGGGGAC
rnacentral:sRNA from 1 species